AGAGUUUGAUCAUGGCUCAGAUUGAACGCUGGCGGCAGGCCUAACACAUGCAAGUCGAACGAUGAUUAUCUAGCUUGCUAGAUAUGAUUAGUGGCGGACGGGUGAGUAACAUUUAGGAAUCUGCCUAGUAGUGGGGGAUAGCUCGGGGAAACUCGAAUUAAUACCGCAUACGACCUACGGGUGAAAGGGGGCGCAAGCUCUUGCUAUUAGAUGAGCCUAAAUCAGAUUAGCUAGUUGGUGGGGUAAAGGCCCACCAAGGCGACGAUCUGUAACUGGUCUGAGAGGAUGAUCAGUCACACCGGAACUGAGACACGGUCCGGACUCCUACGGGAGGCAGCAGUGGGGAAUAUUGGACAAUGGGGGCAACCCUGAUCCAGCCAUGCCGCGUGUGUGAAGAAGGCCUUUUGGUUGUAAAGCACUUUAAGCAGGGAGGAGAGGCUAAUGGUUAAUACCCAUUAGAUUAGACGUUACCUGCAGAAUAAGCACCGGCUAACUCUGUGCCAGCAGCCGCGGUAAUACAGAGGGUGCGAGCGUUAAUCGGAAUUACUGGGCGUAAAGCGAGUGUAGGUGGCUCAUUAAGUCACAUGUGAAAUCCCCGGGCUUAACCUGGGAACUGCAUGUGAUACUGGUGGUGCUAGAAUAUGUGAGAGGGAAGUAGAAUUCCAGGUGUAGCGGUGAAAUGCGUAGAGAUCUGGAGGAAUACCGAUGGCGAAGGCAGCUUCCUGGCAUAAUAUUGACACUGAGAUUCGAAAGCGUGGGUAGCAAACAGGAUUAGAUACCCUGGUAGUCCACGCCGUAAACGAUGUCUACUAGCCGUUGGGGUCCUUGAGACUUUAGUGGCGCAGUUAACGCGAUAAGUAGACCGCCUGGGGAGUACGGCC
rnacentral:rRNA from 1 species